AUUCCGAGUGACUGCCGCUGCAUUAAUUCAGACAUUUACCACCUCUCAGCUGCACUGAACAACAGCUGCCUGGCUGGUUCCUGUGCUGCCCUCCUCUUCCAAAUCUUUGGCCCUUUUUACCUUGAAUCGGAUGUGACUUUCCUCAGAACUCUGGAGCUUCCCGUUGCCUGCCAGGUAAUUAUUUAUAAUGUUGUUGAUUCAGAAUGAUCCUUUAAACUUUGCUUCUACGAAGGCACACUCAAAACUUUUCUGUCGAAUGGGCCAGUGAUGGUAAUCGCUCGACACAAGCAAGUCUAACGACACCUACGUGUAAAGGCAAAAUCAUGGAUUCAUGUUCCCACAACUACAGGUGCUUCUGUGUCUUGGAACGUGCAUACAGAUUAACAGGCAGUGGAGUGCACCCCAACUUGAACAGGAUUGCCAUGGCAAUGAGAGAUGACUGGAACCCGUAAAGUGGUGUCUUCAUUAAGCUCCUCUUAAAAACUGCUGGAGCUGGAGUCUGCAAGAUGCAUCUUCAGGCAAGUCCUGUACCAUCAAAGCACCC
ensembl:lncRNA